UACGAGAACCCCAAGCGUUAUCCGGAAUCAUUGGGCGUAAAGGGUGUGUAGGCGGCGAUGUAGUCCCCUGUCAAAUCUCCCGGCUUAACCGGGAAUCUGCGGGGGAAACGGCAUUGCUCGAGGAUGCGAGAGGUAGAUGGAACUCAUGGAGUAGGGGUGAAAUCCGUUGAUAUCAUGGGGAACACCGAAAGCGAAGGAAUCUACUAGUGCAUUCCUGACGCUGAAACACGAAAGCGUGGGUAGCGAACGGG
rnacentral:rRNA from 1 species